rnacentral:tRNA from 1 species
GGGGCUGUAGCUCAGUUGGCUAGAGCGCAUCCCUGGCAGGGAUGAGGCCGUGGGUUCAAGUCCCAUCAGCUCCACCA